GCAGUCAACUCAGCGAUCCAACGGUUCAAGCACGGGCUCCAGAGCCAAAUCCAAUGGUCCUAAACGGACUUCUUCUGCGGUGUUUCCAGCCAGUGUAGUGGCUGGGGUUGAGCCUCUGGGGCCAUUCAAGGACGUGAGCAGUGCAGAGAGAAUGAACCUGUUCGUGAGAAAAGUAAGUCUCUGUUGUGUAACCUUCGAUUUCACUGACCCAACUAAGAACACGCUAGAAAAGGAUGUAAAGAGGCAGACUUUACUCGAGCUCGUAGAUUUUGUGGCUUCUGG
rnacentral:misc_RNA from 1 species